GACGAACGCUGGCGGCGUGCUUAACACAUGCAAGUCGAACGGAAAGGCCCUGCUUUUGUGGGGUGCUCGAGUGGCGAACGGGUGAGUAACACGUGAGUAACCUGCCCUUGACUUUGGGAUAACUUCAGGAAACUGGGGCUAAUACCGGAUAGGAGCUCCUGCUGCAUGGUGGGGGCUGGAAAGUUUCGGCGGUUGGGGAUGGACUCGCGGCUUAUCAGCUUGUUGGUGGGGUAGUGACUUACCAAGGCGUUGACGGGUAGCCGGCCUGAGAGGGUGACCGGCCACAUUGGGACUGAGAUACGGCCCAGACUCCUACGGGAGGCAGCAGUGGGGAAUAUUGCACAAUGGGCGGAAGCCGGAUGCAGCAGCGCCGCGUGCGGGAUGACGGCCUUCGGGUUGUAAACCGCUUUCGCCUGUGACGAAGCGUGAGUGACGGUAAUGGGUAAAGAAGCACCGGCUAACUACGUG
rnacentral:rRNA from 1 species